GAGUUUGAUCCUGGCUCAGGAUGAACGCUAGCGGCAGGCUUAACACAUGCAAGUCGAGGGGCAGCAUGGGAGUAGCAAUACUUCUGAUGGCGACCGGCGCACGGGUGCGUAACGCGUAUGCAACCUACCUGUAACAGGGGGAUAACACUGAGAAAUCGGUACUAAUACCGCAUAACACUAUGAGAGGCAUCUCUUGUGGUUGAAAGUUUCGGCGGUUACAGAUGGGCAUGCGUUGUAUUAGCUGGUUGGUAAGGUAACGGCUUACCAAGGCGACGAUACAUAGGGGGACUGAGAGGUUAACCCCCCACAUUGGUACUGAGACACGGAUCAAACUCCUACGGGAGGCAGCAGUGAGGAAUAUUGGUCAAUGGACGGAAGUCUGAACCAGCCAUGCCGCGUGCAGGAAGACGGCUCUAUGAGUUGUAAACUGCUUUUGUACAAGGGUAAACCUGAAUACGUGUAUUCAGCUGAAAGUACUGUACGAAUAAGGAUCGGCUAACUCCGUGCCAGCAGCCGCGGUAAUACGGAGGAUCCAAGCGUUAUCCGGAUUUAUUGGGUUUAAAGGGUGCGUAGGCGGAUUGAUAAGUUAGAGGUGAAAUGUCCGAGCUUAACUCGGGAACUGCCUCUAAUACUGU
rnacentral:rRNA from 1 species